rnacentral:pre_miRNA from 1 species
AAUGGAAUUGCUGGGUGAUAUGGUAAGUUUACACUUUGUCAGAAACUGCCAAACUGCUUUCCAAAGCUGCUGUACCAUUUUACACUCCCACCAGCAUU